rnacentral:lncRNA from 1 species
CUUCCACAUCCGGUGGUAACAGGGCCCUACACAGACCCGCACUGACCUGGAAAAGCUUCGGGAGCGGCGACGGGAAGGCAGCAGGAGGUGGUGCGGGGACCCGAGGCGCCUCGUACCCGGCCGGGCUGACGCGGCCCCGCUACACACAAAGCGCUUCAGCUGCACAGGGCGCUAUUUUCCGAAAAUGCCGCGUCUGGUCGGCGCCCAAAAUCCCCACCGAAAAGUCCCCCGUGCUGCGCGCGGAGGGACACAUGGUGUGCGAGUGAGUCAAGCUCCCAGCAUCCCUCCCGGACCCGGCCCUCUUCAGCUCAUCGCCCGAGGAUUUUCCGCCUCUGCCCUCGUCGGCAGAUCCUGCUCCUACCCACUCCCUAGCUGUGUUCCCGCGGGGAGAGAGGGGAAAGAGGGUCUGAUUUUUUAACGAAGGGAAAGAAAAUAUGCCAUUUCUAGCGCUUCAGCCACACAAAGAAAGCGGCGGAAUGAUCCGCUCUCGGCGACCGCAAGUCCCGGCUCGCCCGGCGCCUGCGCGGCAGCGGGGGUGGGAGCUGCGGACGGCCAUGUGCGCGGCGGAGAGGCCGGGUGGCCACCGAACCUUCCCGCCUGUUCUGCGGGGCGUCUGGGCAUGGCUUUCCCAACCUAGUAACUGCAACUUUUAGCAUCCUACAUGUAGGACUUGGGAAUAUGUGAGACAGCGCCAAGAAUUUAAUCCAGGAGAAUUGACAAGCUUAAAUGAAAUCCAUAUUGCCCACUGAUUUUGUGCAGCUUCAGAUAAGUAAUCUUUCUCCACUUAGCCUUUUGUAACAAUUGAUGUAAUAAAGGUUUGUAGUCUUUGUGUAAUUUAUUAAAGCAUUGUGCCUAAAAUAGAAAAAAAGCAUAGGAACCAUAGGCUGUGUUUUCUUUUGAUUUAAUAUUUUCAUUUCUUCAGUUAAUAGAAAUUUGCCAAAUUCUGAUGUUUUUCUGUAGCAUUAUUUGAAUGAGCAUUGUUUAUUUGAGUGAACAUUCAGCUAAUUGUUACAGAAUCGUUGCCCCCAUUAAUCUUAGGCUGUAGAAUGUAGACAAGUAAAUAGGCAUCAUCAGUAUGAUGAGAGUGAAGCUACUUAAUACUGUGGAAUCAAAUAAAGGAGGAACCCCUUACUAAACCAAGAGGGAGGAAUAAAAUGGAAUGGGACUAGAGAAGCAAUUAGCUUUAAUAAGGGUAUUAUGGAAGACUUUCUAGAUGAGAAGCAGUAAGUACAGAUGUUUGGAGGCAAACACUAGAGAGAUUGUUGGGUAAAGAAGACAAUGCUGGAGGUCUACUUGUGAAGGCCUUGAAUGCUAUGUGCAGAAGUCAGCUUCUGAGAACCAGGAAGAAGAUAUUGAAAGAUUUUAAGUAGAAGAAUCAUAGGAUUGAAUUCAUUUUAGACAGAUCACUGUUACACAAAAAUUUGAGGCAAACAGAAGAGUUUGGAGUAAACAGUAGGCUGUGAGCCAGUAAUGACUUGGACUGAGUUGGUAGCAGGUAGGUGUGAAGAAAAUAAAGUGGUUAUUGGGAGAUUUGGUUAACUGAAAAUGACUGAGGGAGAUAGAUGUCAGGUGACUCCCAAGUGAGUUGGUGGAGCAGCUAGGAGGAUAGUAAUGUCUUCACUGAGAUUAGAAACAAAAUAAGAGAAUAUAUGUUAGGGAAGGAAGAAGUCUUUGUUUUGACCAUGUAAAAUUUGAAGUGCAUGUGAGCCAACCAGUCAUAUAUGUGUAGUGUGCAAUUAGAUAUUCAUUCAACACUGUUGGAAGAGCACCUACUCUGUGCCUGGUACUGUUCUACACACUGAAAUAGGUAAAGCAGCAGCAAAACAAAUGGUUCCUACUCCUGUUUUUUAGAGGGAAACAGCAUAUAAACAAGUUUUAAAAAUAAGAGGAGAGAGAAUAUCCCAUAAAUUCGUGAAGAAGGCUGGGUGCAGUGGCUCAUGCCAGUAAUCCCAGCAGUUUGGGAGGCCGAGGUGGGUGGAUCUCCUGAGUUCAGGAGUUAAAGAGCAGCCUGGCCAACAUGGCAAAACCCCGUCUCUACUGAAAAAAAUUAGCUGGGCAUGGUGGCACGCUCCUGUAAUUCCAGCUACUCCGGAGGCUGAGGCAGGAGAGUAGCUUGAACCCAGGACACGGAGGCUGCAGUGAGCCGAGAUUGCGCCACUGCACUCCAGCCUGGGCGACUGAACGAGACUCCGCCUCAAAAAAAAAGAGUUUGUGAGGAAAAUUAAAAGCUGAUUGGAUAAAGUGUUACUCUGGGGAAAAGAGAGCAAACUUUUGGUGGUUGGUUGAUCAGAGAUGGCCUCACUGAGAAGGUAUUAGAAAGGACAAGAACAGUGUGAGACCAAAGGGAAUAGCUGGGCAAAGGCCCUAAGGUGAAAAAUUUGUUGUGUUUAGGGAAUAGCAAGGUCAGUGUAUCCGAAAUCUAGUGACCAAAAGAAGGAAUGAUAGGAGGUGAAGUCUUCAGCCUCAAUAAGAAGGUGAAGUGCACUGGAAGCCAUUGAAGGAUUUAAGAAAUGGAGUAUCUGGCCGGGCGCGGUGGCUCACGCCUGUAAUCCCAGCACUUUGGGAGGCCGAGGUGGGAGGAUCAAGAGGUCAGGAGAUGGAGACCAUCCUGGCUAACAUGGUGAAACCCCGUCUCUAUUCAAAAUAAAAAAUUUUUUUAAAAAUUAGCCAGGCGUGGUGGCGGGCGCCUGUAGUCCCAGCUACUCGGGAGGCUGAGGCAGGAUAAUGGCGUGAACCCAGGAGGCAGGGCUUGCAGUGAGCCGAGAUCGUGCCACUGCACUCCAGCCUGGGCGACAGAGCGAGACUCCGUCUCAAAAAAAAAAAAAAAAAAAAAAGAAAUGGAGUAUCAUGGACUAGGAUAGUAGCAGUAGAGAUGAGGGAAGUGGAUGGAUCCAAAAAGCUGACCUAUCUUGCUUACCAAUUAAAUGAGGAAAGGGAGGAAUCAAUAGUGAUGCCUAGGUUUGGGGCAUGUUGUCUAGGUGGAAUUAAUUUUAAUUACACUUUUAACCCCUAGCAUAUCCAAAUAUUAUUUCACAUGUGAUCAACAUAAAAAAUUACUAAAUAUUAAAAAUAUUUUACAUUAUCUUUCUCAUAACUAAGCAUUUGAAAUCUGGUGUGUAUUUUAUACUUAUAGCAUAUCUCAGUACUUGAUUUCAUAAAAUUUCCAGCUGAAAAAAUAGAUUCACGUACCCAAGUCGUUCCAAGCAUACUUAAAAGUUUUACGGUAAUCGAAUCGUGUAUAUUUUUAAAUUUUAUUUUAAAUUAAAGUUAGGAUUAUGAAUUCAGUUCCUAAAUUAGCCUCAUUUCACUUCUGCAUUUCAAGUGGGACAAGUUAUUACCAUAUUGGACAAUGCAGUCUAGUGAAGUAGAGGAUAGUGGAAAGUCAGACUUAAAAAGUUGUUUAGAACCAGCUCUGGAAGGCCUUGGAUGUCAGAUUAAAGGACUGAGAUUUUACCCUUGAGUCAGGCAGAAUAAUGGAUGGUUUUUGAACUAAGGAGUGACACAAGGUUGUGCUUAUGACUAGAAGGAGGCCACUAGGUGGCCAGCUGGUGAGUCAGGACACCCUUCAGUUGCUUUGACUUCAGCCCUGUGGAUUCAAAGUCUGAUUUUUGUCAGCGCUCUAGAGCAGUCUCACCAAAAGUGUGGUCCACAAGGCAGUGCCAGUCUGUAAGCCCUUUGUUACACAUCCAUGUCAAGGCAUUUACAGAAAGUAAGAAUUUAGAAACUUAUAGCAGUUUAACAGACUAAUUUUAUUUCUGUGGGUCUAAUAAAAAUUUGAGGGAUUGUACUUUGCAUAUUCUUUAUUUCCCUUUUUUUGUUUGUUUUUUGUGUUCGAGAUGGGAGUCUUUUUCUGUCGCCAGGCUGGAGUGCAGUGGUGCAGUCUCGGCUCACUGCAACCUCUGCCUCCUGGGUUCAAGCGAUUCUCCUGCCUCAGCCUCCCAAAUAGCUGGGAUUACAGGUGUGCACCACCACAUCCAGCUAAUUUUUGUAUUUUCAGUAGAGACGGGGUUUCACCAUGUUGGCCAGGAUGGUCUUCAUUGCCUGACCUUGUGAUCCGCCUGCCUCAGCCUCCCAAAGUGCUGGGAUUACAGGCGUAAGCCACCGUGCCCGGCCCUUUUUUCCUUUUUAGUUUAUUUUUUUCUUUUUUGAGACAGAGUUUCGCUCUUAUUGCCCAGGCUGGAGUGCAAUGGUGCGAUCUUGGCUCACCGCAACCUCUGCCUCCUGAGUUGAAGCGAUACUCCUACCUCAGCCUCCCAAGUAGCUGGGAUUACAAGCAUGCACCACCAUACCCUGCUAAUUUUGUAUUUUUAGUAGAGACGGGUUUCUCCAUGUUGGUCAGGCUGGUCUCGAACUCCCAACCUCAGGUGAUCUACCUGCCUUGGCCUCCCAAAGCGCUGGGAUUACAGGUGUGAGCCACUGCACCCGGCCGUUUUUUUCUUUUUCUAAUAAUUUUUAUCAUAUUACAUAAAAGUACCUAUGGUCUCACAGAUGAAGGGAGUCAGAAGAACCAAACUCCCAGAAGACAUAUAAAUCUAAAUGCCUUUUUUACUUUAGAGUGAAAACUGUAAUAGCUAAAUUAUAAUGGACAUCUGCUCAUUUUCUCCCUCCAUGUAGACAUGGAAAGCUACACGGAAAUAACCGAGUUUAUAGUAGCUACCAUAUAUUAAACGUUUCCUGUAUGCCAGCCACUGUGCAAAGCAUAUUAUAUAUAUUGUCUCAUUUAAUCCUCACAACUCUGUAAAAUAAGUAUUGUUUGCCCCAUUUUUCCAAUGAAGAAACCGAGGCUAAAAUAGGUUGAAUAACUUACCUAAAUUCACCAUCCUCAAAGGUGUUAAAGACAGGAUUCCAGUACAGGUCUCUCAUUUCCUUCAUGAUUAGGAAUACUACUUUGAAAUGAGAGACCUGUACUGUAUCUGUUAAUUCCAAAUUCCCUGGCAUAAAGACUCAGUACAUUGUUUAAAGAGAAUGCAUGAAGUUAACUGCAUUACCUUUUGGAGGGUUCAUUUGUGAAUUUGGGGCCAAAGUAAGGGGAGUUACUGGUAUUCUAAUAGCAUCAAACAAAUGAAUUCAUUUCAUCUUUUGGGGAGGUGGAGGGAAUAAGGUCUCACCUUGUCGCCCAUGCAGGCUGGAAGGCCGUGAUGUGAUCUCAGCUCACUGCAGCCUCAACCUGGGCUCAAGCGAUCCUCCCACCUCAGCCUCCUGAGUAGCUGGGACUACAGGUGCACACCACCACGCCCAGCUCAUUUUUGUAUGUUUUGUAGAGACUGUGUUUUGCCACGUUGCCCAGGCUAUUCUCAAACUCCUGAGCUCAAGUGAUCCUCCCACCUCAGCCUCCCAAAGUGCUGGGAUUACAGAUGUAAUCCACCACACCCAGCCAAAUGCAUUCAUGUCUACAAUAGAAAUACAUCUCUUUGCUGCUAUCUUGAAUUUGUAGACUCCCACAAAUCAAUAAAAAAGAAGACAUCCAAUAAAAAAAUGGGUAGAGGCCAGGCAGUGGCUAACACCUGUAAUCCAAGCACUUUAGGAGGCCCAGGCAGGCAGAUCACUUGAGGUCAGAAGUUCAAGACCAGCCUGGCCAACAUGACAAAACCCUGUCUCUACUAAAAAUAUAAAAAUUAGCCAGACGUAGUGGCACGUACCUGUAAUCACAACUACUCGGGAGGCUGAGACAGGAGAAUUGCUUGAACCCAGGAGGCAGAAGUUGCAGUGAGCCAAGAUCGUGCCACUGCACUCCAGCCUGGGCGACAAAGCAAGACUCCAUCUCAAAAAAAAAAAAAAAAAAAAAGGUAGAAACUUAAACAGUCACCUCACAAAAAAGGGUAUCUAAAUAUUAGUUUCUUAAAAAAUAUAAAAGGGGCGUGUAGAUGGCCGAUAAACAUGUAAAAGAUACUCAACUAAUUUAAUCAUUAGAGAAAUGCAAAUUAAAACCUAAAUGAUAUUUUAAUCUCACAUCCAACAGAAUGGCUAAAAUGGAAAACCCAGAAAAUGCCAGAUGUUGGUCAAGAGUUGGAGUAACUGAAACUACACAGCUGCUGGAAAUGUAUAUUGGUAUAACCACUUUGGAAAAUGGGAAGUUCAACAAACAGGCAAACCAAUCUAGAUUUAGGGAUAUAUGUUUAGGUAGUAAAAGUAUAAAGAAAAGAAAUAGUUAGCUUUGCAGGGAGUAGUGCUUGGGAGGUAAUAGGUGCUUCUGGAGUGCUGUUGAUGUUCUGUUCCUAAGUAGGGUGCUAUGGCUUGAGUUUGGUUUGUCUGACCCUACCAAGUCUCAUGUUAAAAUUUCAUCCCCAGUGUUGGAGGUGAGGCCUGGUGGGAAGGGUUGUGGGAGUGGAUUUCUCAUGAGUGGCUUCGUAUUCUGUAAGGAGUGAGUUCAUUAAGAGACUGGCACCUCCUCUCUCCUUUCUCUCGCCAUGUGAUCUCUGCAUAUGUCAUCUCCUGUCUGCCUUCCACCGUGAGCAGCCUGAAGCCCUCACUGGAAGCAGAUACUGCUACCAUGCUUCUUGUACAGCCUGCAAAACCGUGAGCCAAAUAAGCCGAACAUUCUAAGACACUGGGAUUACAUGAGUGUUAGCACUCUAUGACUUAAUGAGAAUGGCUCACACCUGUAAUCCCAGUGCUUUGGGAGGCCGAGGCAGAUGGAUCACUUGAGGCCAGGAGUUCCAGACCAGCCUGGCCAACACGGCGAAACCCCAUCUCUACUAAAAAUACAAAAAAUUAGCCAGGCCUGGUGGUGCACGCUUGUAAUCCCAGGUACUUGGGAGGCUAAGGCAGGAGGAUCACUUGAACCCAGGGGAGGCUGCAGUGAGCUGAGAUCGUGCCACUGCACUCCAGCUUGGGCAACAGAGCAAGACUCCAUCUUAAAAAGAAGAAAGAAAGAACUUCUAUUUUUUAAAUGUUUUUUCCUUUCAUUGAACUCCAUUUAUAGCCUUUCCAUUCAGAGCAUAAAGAUUAAAUUUUAAAACAAGGCUUGGCACCCUGGCUUAUGCCUGUAAUCCCAGCACUUUGUGAGGCCAAGGUGGGCGGAUCACCUGAGCUCAGAAGUUUGAGUCCAGCCUGGCUAACAUGGUGAAACCCCAUCUCUAAAAGAGUACACAGUCCUAGAGCAGUGGUGUGCGCCUGUAGUCCUAGCUACCUGGGAGGCUGAACCAGGAGAAUUGCUUGAGCCUGGGAGGCAGAGGUUGCAGUGAGCCAAGAUCGCACCAUUACACUCCAGCCUGGGUGACAGAGAGAGACCCUGUGCCCCUCAAAAAAAUGUUUUUUUUAAACAAGAAUCUCUCAGGCAUACUGAAAUGUUGAAGAGGAAAUUAUAUUAAUAUCUGGGACUUGUUUCCAAAUUUGGAAUUGGGGCAGGGUGUAAAUUGUUGGCAAUAUCAAAGAAACGAGGAGUUGGAAUGAUAAUUGUAGAAGCUGCAUGAUAGAUACACAUUCUUUAUACUUCUGUAUAUGUUGAAAUUUUUUAUCAAAUUAUAAUUGUGUAUAAUGACUAAUUAUGCUUUCAUUGUCUAUUCUGUGUGGUUAUGUUACUUGCUGAAAUUAAUACAUAAAGAGUCUUCAACUUAAAUGACUUAUCAAGCAUAAAUAUUAAAAUACUGGAUGUUACUACACAUUUGACUCCACUUAUGCAUUUAUUCAUCAACUAUUAAAUGCUUUCAUGUAGAUUUCUCAUUUAAUCUCUGCAAGGUAGGUGUUACCCCUGGUUUUACAAAUGAGAAAAUGUAGAUUCAAGAUAAGUAAUAUGCAGGUCAAGAAUAGCAAAAUCGGUCGGGUGCGGUACCUCACGCCUGUAAUCCCAACACUUUGAGAGGCCGAAGUGGGUGGAUCACCUGAGGUCAGGAGUUCAAUCCCAGCCUAGCCAAUACAGUGAAACCCCAUCUCUACUAAAAAUACAAAAAUUAGCCAGGCAUGAUGGCAGGUGCCUGUAAUACCAACUACUCGGGGGGUUGAGGGAGGAGAAUCGUUUGAACCCGGGAGGUGGAGGUUGCAGUGGCCCGAGAUUGUGUCACUGCACUCCAGCCUGGGCGACAGAGCUAGACUCCAUCUAAAAAAAAUGAAAAUAGCAAAAUUACAACUUUUCCCCCAUUUGGUCUUCCACCUGGAAACUCAUGUUUUAUUUCUACUGUUACCAUGCUGCUUCUCAGACAUGCCUGACUGUUUCUUCCCGUGCUGUUUUCCUUUAGGAGUGAAAGCUUGGCACAACAUGUACAAUAAAAUUUAGGGAAGAUUUUUGGGGUCUUUGUCCUCUUCUUUCCUGUUAAAGCAGCUAGAGUCAGUAGGCAGGACCUAAGGUGUACUACACCAUAAGGAAGCCAUGGAACGGUGAACUGGCAAAAUUCUAGACCCAACUCAUGAAAUUUUGGUUCUUCAAGAAUUUCUUUGACUGCUAUUACCUGUAUUUGUGUUGAUUACUGUUCAAUAUACUGGGUCUCAUCUCACUUUCAGAACAUAAACGAAGAGCUUAAUCCC